UAUUAGGAAUAGUACGCACUGAAAGAACAAAUUGUUCUGCUUCAAUUUCUACAAUGACGGUUGUUAACGAAUGUCCCCAAAGUGAAAUUGAAUGGAAGGAAAGAGAAAAAGCAAAACGGUGUCAAACAGUCACUUAGGAAUGCACUAGCAAAACGAAAUUUAAAUAUCACUGCCUUCAAAACGAAUGGAGAAAUGCAACAGUUAAAGUUUGUGCUGAAGUUUGGUUUAUUAAUUGUCAUUGUGCGGAAUAUAAUACUGGAGCAGGAAUAGUGCAAGAGAGACUUGAUAGACCCUUUCCAAGUCAAAAACGGUGCAGAUACGAAUCUAAUAUCCGUGAAUAUGAACAUUGCAGAAUGCUUAACAAAACAGCUUUACCACCUCAUACCGGUAUUCAAGGAUAUAAUCAGACAAAAGACAACUUUUUCCUUGAAACCAACUUACAGCAAAACAGGU